CACUUAUAAAAGAGUGAUUAACCAAUGAGAGUCAGUCAGAUGAAGGUAGUGCACUUUGCAAUGAUAAAUGCAAGUAUAAAAAAGAAGCCUCGGAACUCAAAGAGAGGGUAAAAAUGCUGGAAAAUCAGAUCAAAAGACUUAAUGAGAAAAUUGACAAUGGCAAUGGGUUGAACCAACUUUUUGCAAGUACCUU